rnacentral:rRNA from 1 species
GUAGGUGGCAAGCGUUGUCCGGAAUUAUUGGGCGUAAAGCGCGCGCAGGCGGUUCUUUAAGUCUGAUGUGAAAGCCCACGGCUCAACCGUGGAGGGUCAUUGGAAACUGGAGAACUUGAGUACAGAAGAGGAAAGCGGAAUUACACGUGUAGCGGUGAAAUGCGUAGAGAUGUGGAGGAACACCAGUGGCGAAGGCGGCUUUCUGGUCUGUAACUGACGCUGAGGCGCGAAAGCGUGGGGAGCAAACAGGGAUUAGAUACCCUGGUAGUCCACGCCGUAAACGAUGAGUGCUAAGUGUUAGGGGGGUUUCCGCCCCCCUUAGUGCUGCAGCUAACGCAUUAAGCACUCCGCCUGGGGAGUACGGCCGCAAGGCUG